CACACACACAGACACACAGUUUCUCACACACACGGACAGUUUCUCUCACACACACAGACAAGCAAGGUUUCUUAUACACACACACACAAGAUGUUUCUCACACACACACAAGGAGGUUUCUGAUAUGCAAGAGGUUUCUCACACACACACGGACACACCAGAAGGUUUCUCACACACAAAGGGGAACACAAGGAGGUGUCUCACACACACACGGUUUCUCUCUCUCUCUCACACA